GAUGCUGCUUCUCCGUUUACUGCGGCAACAGCUGAGGUCUGCUGCCUGAGUUUUCUUCCGACCUCAGAGAGUUAUAGGGGCAGAAAGGAAGUUUCUGUGUGAUUGUGCAAAGGCAAGGGAGAGUAUGUAGUGUACAUUUGUGAGAACGAGGAAAAGAAAGGAAGUUAAGAGAGAGAAUGAAAGAGUAUGGAAUGCUGUGAUGUCACCAGCUAAGUCAUAACACAAAGGCAACAAGGACACACAAGCACUCUCUCUCCUACUUAGUAAAGUCUGCCGUGGAGCGUCCGCACCCAGCUUGUAUCCAGUUUAUGGAGGCUGAUCAGUGAUGAGAGCGUGUGUAUGUGGUGAAGACACGUCAUAGCAGCGGGUUUGAGGACCAGGCCGGUCUUCACCAUUGUUACCAUCAUCAUCAUCAUCAUCCUUGCUUUUACGGACCAUUGCUGAACCUUAGAAUAUAUAAAGGACCACCACACACAAGGCCAUGCUGCAGCAGAUCUUGAAGGAUAUGUACAUCGACCCAGAUGUGCUGGACGCUCUGAACGAAGAACAGAAGAAGACCCUCUUCCUAAAAAUGCGUGAGGAGCAGGUGCGACGCUGGAAGGAGCGAGAGGAGAAGCUGGAGAGGGAGCCACUCAAUCGCAAACCAAAAACAGCUCGUGGAAAGAGUGUGAGCUGGCUGCUGGGACGAGACGGAGAUGUGCAGGUCAAUGUCAUCGGUGAGGUGGAUGAACUCAAAUGCUCCAAGAUCAUCUAUUCAGGGUUUGGAGAGAGAAAAACUCCCAGCGUCCUCAACAAUUCAUACAACCAGCCCGGCACUUUGAAAAGCAACUUGGUAAACCAAACAUCAGCAGAACCUGUACGAUCAGGGAGAGAAAAUCUUCCACCCAAAGUGCAUUCAGGAGUCCAGCUGAACUUAAAGGAGAACUAUGGCAAAGACUUAAGGACUGUGGUGCCUCCACAGGUGCCAGUGAAUGAAGAAAAGCUGUCAUUAACUGUAGAAAAUGUAUCCCAUCAUCAGCCUCAAGAGUCUACAGAGGGGGCUGAGUCAGGAUGGUCAGAAGAUGACUCAGCAUUCUUGUCCUCAAUUUGCUAUCAGCCCUGUGCGAUAUCUUUCCUCCAGACACCCUCUUCUCUCAGUAGGCCUGCCCAUGUGGACACAGAGGAAAGGAUGACCAAUCAGUUGCUUGAUACAUCCAGAUUCCAUCUCCAAGACACCCCCAAACCACUGACUAACAGAGAGGGAAGGACACACAUUCCAGCGCUGCUUCCCGACUCUGGCCCUGGGCGACGCUCGACCGGAGCUAAUAAGUGACAGGGCCCCCAGCCUCCUCUCCCCUUCGCCACCUCCCCCUGGCAGCCAUGACCCCGGCUCAGUGCACAGACAUGCCGCUCCGGAAUUCUGCCCUCUGCCCCACUUCUAACCCCCCUCCAAAAUCACUCUCAGAGGUGGGGGCAUUUAAAGAGAUAGCGUGCUUUUCUCUGGUGCUGGACCGUCAGUGUGGCUCAGCUCCUCUGUUUACAUAUGGUGACUGGGAAUAGAAAAUGUCCCGUAUACACCAUAUAAAAAAUGUAAAGGCAGCACACUGUUGCUCCCAAAGAGAUUUUUAAUGGAUCUUACACCGAGUAGUGCCGUAUUUAAUUUUUGACGUGAAUGAAAACGAGGCUGUGAGGGAUAGACUUAGUUUCUUCAAUGUGUCGCACUGUUGAUUAAAUUGGUGUUGAUCGUUCAGCUGAUGAAACAUUGAAAAAAACAUCUUUCCAAAGAAUUUCAGUUGCCAAAAAAAAACCUCCAGAAAAACUAGUUGUGAACAUUAGAUGUGAUCUAUGAACUUUAUACAGCUUUAUCAAUUGUACAAAUUGUUAAUCUAUCCCUCAAAGUCUAAUUUUCAUCCAUGUAAAAUUCAUUAUCGCAUUCACCCUGACUAAGGUCCUCAAAGACCCAAGCUUUUUUUCUCUUUGAACAUGUUUUUAGGAAACUGCUAUACUCCAAAUAUAUUCUCUAGGUCAUUCAUACACAUACAUAUCAGUUAUUGACAGGCAAAUGGGGAGACUGAGGUGGUUCAAUGAGAUCAGGUAUUUACAGGCUUUGUCACAAGUGAUUGCACGGUGAAGCCUGUGGGGGCAGUUUUGGCCAGCCUGGACAGAGAGUUUGGUUUCAGCCGUGCUUUGAGGGGGUGCUGUGAGCACGUAGUGGCAGCUCUGUGAAAGAGGCUCAGGUUCCAGAGUGUUGGAGAGAGAGGUCGAAUUCUGGUGGAGAAUUCGCAAAGGUUAUGGGAGAAUGGAAAACAGCAAACACCAUUGGUGAGUGACAGGGGGGAUGAGGCGUCAUCGUUACAGUGGUGUCAGCUAACGGCACAGAGUGCAUAUAUGAACACACAGUCACCGACACACAUGCAAACACAUAUGUGCUGUGUUUGUGGGACGCAGAAUGGGCUACUAGUGGGGCGUGGUAAAUGCGGUGGAACAAACAGUUUUAGAUCAUGAGUGUGACUCAGGGUGUGUGUGUGUGUGUGUGUGUGUGUGUGUGUGUGUGUGUGUGUGUGUGUGUGUGUGAGUGUGUAAGAGUGCUGUGCAUGCAUGUGUGUCCGCCUAGGUUGCUGGAGCCUAUCCAGGGUUUCCGUGGCGACCACACAACAUAGUGAGACAAUCAGUGGCAGGCCCACGCAGUGCGGCGAGAGGACAUUAACACAGGAACUACAGGUCAGGGGCCAGAGGAUGGGAGGGGGAGAGAGCGAAGACGGAAGGAAGAAGAGAGUGAAGGACUUGAGGAGUAAGAGUUAAUCUCAAGAAACCUGUCAAGAACAUGUCCAGGAAAAGAUUUCCAAAUGAUGCCCGCCUCUAAACGGGCGUUUUCUGUCGAUGUGGGGUCUGAAGUAGCUGAGGAGAGCUGUUUGGGACGGGGCCGUGUUGCUCAGCUUAUGAAAACAUUUAGUGUGUCCAGUGAGUCCCCG